UAUAUAUAUAUAUAUAUAUAUAGAGUCAUGUCAUCAUGGAAUGAUCUGUUACCAGAGGUUACUCAGGUAUAUAUAUAGAGUCAUGUCAUCAUGGAAUGAUCUGUUACCAGAGGUUACUCAGGUAUAUAUAGAGUCAUGUCACAGUGGAAUGAUCUGUUACCAGAGGUUACUCAGGUAUAUAUAGAGUCAUGUCAUAGUGGAAUGAUCUGUUACCAGAGGUUACUCAGGUAUAUAUAGAGUCAUGUCAUUGUGGAAUGAUCUGUUACCAGAGGUUACUCAGUUAUAUAUAGAGUCAUGUCACAGUGGAAUGAUCUGUUACCAGAGGUUACUCAGGUAUAUUAUAUAUAUAUAUAUAUAGAGUCAUGUCACAGUGGAAUGAUCUGUUACCAGAGGUUACUCAGGUAUAUAUAGAGUCAUGUCAUCAUGGAAUGAUC